GCCUGGGAGGUGAAGCUUGCAUCAUGGGAGAAGGAGUGGAAAAAACCCUGAACUUAAUAGGAUGUCCUGCUUCUCUUUCAAAUUCUUUACCUUCAUUUCUAUAAUUUUCAUAUCUGUCUUCAUAGAGGAGAAAGUAUGCUUCUAAGUCAAUGCAAACACCUGGUAAUUCAAGACAGCUAUUUAAACACCAAGCUAAUAGCAAUAUAUUAACAGAACUAUAGGAACACAAACGAUGAGGUGUGUGUGCAGCUACCGUAGGAAAUGCCACUCCAGGCUGGAUGCCUGUACCUUCGUGGGUCAGGACUGCUAUGUUCCUGCUCCAGGCAGUGUUUCACAGGUAUGGAACUGUCCUGCACUGCCACUUUCAGAUCUCUUGGCUUAUCUUAUAAAAGGAAUUCCAUAUCCCCUCUUUUUCCUGUGUUUUCAGGAGCUCUUUUCUCACUUUAGGAAGCAGUCAUUGGCUGAAACAUGGAUUUAAUAGACAGCUACAGCACCCCAUUGCCCCCCCAUCUCCUGUUGGUUACCAUCCAGGGCUUGAAACUCUCAGCCAAGUCUCCGGUGACGGGACAUAGCAGCAUUUGGCAGAUGCUUCAUCCGAUUGUCAUCUGUCAGGACUCUUUCCUGAUGUAGCUGAAGAAUAUUUGUGUGUGUUCUUCAGAACCCUGUGAGCAGCAAACUGCAUGGAGUGGAAAGGUCUGGGACUGAUGAGUUGGGCUGUGGCAGCUCAUGGGAGCCCCAGCCAGUGCAGCUCCCUGCACCCGGCCCAUUGCUGUCUGUAAAAAACAAUGAACUUAAAGUGUAAAUGGGACAUAGCAGACCAGAAAAUCAGGCCCUUACGAUUUAAAUGUUUCAUCAAUCAGUGAUAAGCCAUUGAUUCUGAGCUUAAAAUGCAGUGGGGAUUUAGCAGUUUGCUUCCAUGCUAUAUGGCAGUUUAUGACAGGAUGCAAUGCCGCUAAGAGAUGUAGCCAGGCAGAGUAAUUAUCUGAACUAGGAUUUGGUCAGGACACUCGUGUUAAAACAGGGUGCUCUGAAAAUUGGAUUGCUCACUGGAGUGUGUAAGUGUAGAUUUAUCAGACUAAGUUAAGGUGCUCAUUUGCUUAAAGAAGCAUAAUUUUUCAUACCUGUACUUAGAAUACAAGUGGAAUAAUAGAUGAGUUUGUUUAGGAAUUUUUAACCUGUUUAUUUAUUAUUGCUCUCCAAAAAUAGUGUUCUAUAAAUUAAGUACUAGGAGCAUGUAAACAAAUGGUUAGGACAAGAAAGAACAUUUUAUAACCAGACUGUACAAGUUCUGCUUGUAGGUGAAGAUGUGGAAGCAGAAGGGCUCCCUGUCUCUCUGUUCAGAGCUGAUGUCUGGGAAAUAGAGACUCUCCACAUGCAACUCUGCAACUCUAGCGGCUUCUGUAGUGUGAGAUAAGUGCUUCACCCCAUAUGCUCUUGCCUCACUGAGAUUAAAUCUCCCAGUUUCGCAUUAGAUAACAUAAUUGUCUGUAACAGUUUGUGGUUCUGCUCUGCCAUUCAGUCCCUGCGCUAGUGCUUGUGCGUGUACUGUAACGUGUGGCUUGAUGCGAUCGUGUCAGAGUAGGCAAGAUCAGGUACGUGCACGUGCACAUGUGAGAUCUGAGGUGUUCCCUCCUGUAAGAUCUCUUCCUAUAACAGCUAGCUCUAGCAGAUACUUGCAAGAGAAAUCUCUCUUUUGAGCAGAAUAACCAUAGGUUUGGCAAGAUUUUUCCAGUUCCUGACAAAGCCCAUUAGAGGUUUAGAAGAGGGCCAAUUUUACCUAAAUUUAGGCAGAAAUAAUAUUCUUCAAUGUCUCACCAGCUCUGAGUCUGUCCUACACAAAAUAUAAUUCAGGUUUUAAUGCAGGUAUUCAUAUUGUUUUUCUAUAUGAUCAGAAUGCCUCUUGUGGCCCUUUAAUGGGGAAAGACCUCUUAUUUUCAGCAUAGCAGUACACCACUGCUUCUUGCUUUUUUUUCCUCCUUGUUUGUUUCUUGUAGGAUGG
rnacentral:lncRNA from 1 species